rnacentral:rRNA from 1 species
UAUUCCUACGGGGCGCAGCAGUGAGGAAUAUUGGUCAAUGGACGAGAGUCUGAACCAGCCAAGUAGCGUGAAGGAUGACUGCCCUAUGGGUUGUAAACUUCUUUUAUAUGGGAAUAAAACGUUCCACGUGUGGGAUUUUGUAUAUACCAUAUGAAUAAGGAUCGGCUAACUCCGUGCCAGCAGCCGCGGUAAUACGGAGGAUCCGAGCGUUAUCCGGAUUUAUUGGGUUUAAAGGGAGCGUAGGUGGAUUGUUAAGUCAGUUGUGAAAGUUUGCGGCUCAACCGUAAAAUUGCAGUUGAAACUGG